rnacentral:rRNA from 1 species
GAUGAACGCUGGCGGCGUGCCUAAUACAUGCAAGUCGAGCGAACAGACGAGGAGCUUGCUCCUCUGACGUUAGCGGCGGACGGGUGAGUAACACGUGGAUAACCUACCUAUAAGACUGGGAUAACUUCGGGAAACCGGAGCUAAUACCGGAUAACAUGUUGAACCGCAUGGUUCAACAGUGAAAGACGGUCUUGCUGUCACUUAUAGAUGGAUCCGCGCCGCAUUAGCUAGUUGGUAAGGUAACGGCUUACCAAGGCAACGAUGCGUAGCCGACCUGAGAGGGUGAUCGGCCACACUGGAACUGAGACACGGUCCAGACUCCUACGGGAGGCAGCAGUAGGAAAUCUUCCGCAAUGGGCGAAAGCCUGACGGAGCAACGCCGCGUGAGUGAAGAAGGUCUUCUGAUCGUAAAACUCUGUUAUUAGGGAAGAACAAAUGUGUAAGUAACUAUGCACGUCUUGACGGUACCUAAUCAGAAAGCCACGGCUAACUACGUG